UGAACCACCACUGACGAAUCACAUUGAAACUAAAGAGAUGUAAUACGUCAUUUGGUGUUUCCG
rnacentral:pre_miRNA from 1 species